GCGUUCACUUCAGCAGCACAUAUACUAAGAUCGCAAUAUACAGAGAAGAUCAGCAGGGUCCUUGUGCAAAGACGACAUGCAAGUUCAAGAAGCAUUCCAUGUUUUA
ensembl:snRNA U6 U6 spliceosomal RNA